rnacentral:misc_RNA from 1 species
AAGAUAAUAUUUCCUGAUGUGGAAGCUGUCAAACAGCAUAGUUCAAUGAUGGUUGGAAGUUAUUUUGUUUAUUGUAUAUAUAAGCUAUCUUGUUUCUUUCAAUUGGCGUUUGAGAUUGCUGAUAUCUAAAUUCUUUAGGAAUGAGCUCACAGCAUGAAUAAUUUACUUGUUGCUGCUCUGAGCCAUAUUUGGAUGCAUAUUGCAACUUAUAUUAUAUUCUAGCUCUGUCGGAGGAAAUGA